rnacentral:rRNA from 1 species
UACGUAGGUGGCGAGCGUUGUCCGGAUUUAUUGGGCGUAAAGCGCACGCAGGUGGUGCGGUAAGUCUGUCGUGAAAUCUCCUGGCUCAACUGGGAGGGUGCGGUGGAGACUGCCGGACUGGAGGCGCUCAGAGGCCGGUGGAACUCCCGGUGUAGUGGUGAAAUGCGUAGAGAUCGGGAGGAACACCAGUGGCGAAGGCGGCCGGCUGGGGGUGACCUGACGCUGAGGCGCGAAAGCGUGGGGAG